rnacentral:tRNA from 1 species
UGCAAAUUAGCUCAGUUGGUUAGAGCAGAGGUCUGUUAAACCUUGUGUCAUCGGUUCGAAUCCGAUAUUUGCAG